GUACACUCUUUGAAAUAGCACGAAGAAUGUUACUCCACAGAACGAUUUCAUUUGUCCGGCCAAAUGGAAACAAAAAUACAAUAAGAAGUCUACUUAGAAGAGAGGAACGCGAAAGAAAGAGUUCAGCAAACCGAAUAGCGAAAGCGACGAAAAAAUAUUUAUGACGGAUGUUUCUCGAGUCUCGGAUCUGGUUCUUCGCGAUCUUAACUACCUAAUCUUUCACACUUUCGAAUCUUGUCUCCGUAUGUCAGAGCGUGUCUUUGGACGAAUUAGGCUACGAAAGAAAUUGCCACAGCGGGAUGGAGAUUCUUCAAGGACUUCAGAUACUUGGUACGAUACAUCGAGGAAGACUCGUAGGAUGGCGUAUGUUGACGGAGGAAUGGCGAACAAGUAGAAGCGAAAGACAGCACGCACGAAACCCACGUAGAAAGCGGGAGAAGGCUGCGCGACGAGAAACGUUAACGAAUUCGACAAGAACGAAGGCCAUACAAAUUUCCUCGAUGCGUCGUUGGCCGGCGAUUAAGCACGGAGACGCAUUUUACAGAGGGCUAGCGGGCUUUGUUUGUACGCAGAAAUUGCCGGAGGGGCGCCCACUCGCAAGACGCAGGAAACGCAGAUACGAAGAGGACGCACGCGACGUCACUGGUAGCGAUAACGCACCGCCUCGAAUAGCGUGUACGCACACGCAUAACGUCGAAAGGCUUACCACGCAUCCACGAUGACGAACGCGAUCCAACGUUGUCCACGUGCGCUGCACGUCUCGCUCGCGCGCCUCCUUGUCUCUGCGAUGCUACGCGACGCGACGCUCCGCACCGCACCGCACCGCACCGCGUUGCGACAACCGGAGAACAGCGAGCAAGUGGCUUGUUUAAUACGCUCCGCCACAAAUUAUUCCCAAUACGUAGCCACACC
rnacentral:misc_RNA from 1 species